CUCCAGGAGCCUCCCCAUCUCGUCCCACACCUCGAGCUGCCAUUUCCCGGGCCGGCCGAGCCAUUCCCCGCCGUAAUCAGCGAUUCCGGCCGGGCGGAGCAGCUUCCCCCGCGGAAGCCCAGCCGCCGUCGACCCUCUCCCUCAAGUCCUCCGCCCGAAUUGAGCUCCUGGUCGCGCGCUGUGCCGCCGUGUCUCCGCGCAUCGGCCGUUCCGCCUGUCGCGCCCCCCGGUGCGCCGCACCUUGGGGAGCCUCGCCCAGCCGCUUUCGCUACCGAGCGCUCGUCGUCGAUGAGCGUCUGAACGGCCGGCGCACGAGGUCAGCCUGCCUCGGGGCACACCUGGCUGCCCUGCGGGACUCUACAAGUGCGGCUCGAUCCCAGGAGGCCGCGUCGCUUCUCCAUGGCCACCAUUGUCGCCGGAAUCGCCCUUUCCCCCGUGCUCCUCUGCUUCAAAUCGCAACCAAGGACCUCGGACUCCCUCGCUCAAAGGAUCUGCAUCUCUCCCUCAAGUCUGGAUCUCUGGUUCCUUCUCUCCCCCGUUACUCCUGUUUCCUACAUCUCUGCAGACGACGCCCCGCGGCUGACCCCAGACCCGCUGCCCCGAGGCCGACGACGCCAGCCAGCGCCGACCCCAGGAGCCACCGUUCCGCGGCCGGCCACCAGCAGCGCGUGUCCAAUAGGGGCAGGGUAGGGACAGGCGAGCGAUGGCCCACAGGGGCGUGCGGCAUGGGCUCCUGCGGCUGGCCAGCGGAGGCCGGAGGCUUGUGCGGCCCCCCACGGGGCUCAUCAAGGUGGACCGGGUCCUCUACUCCUCCGUCGUGUACCCGCACAACUAUGGCUUCAUCCCCCAUCGACGUCCUCGUCCUCACGCAGGAACCAGUUCGGCCACCUCCCGUCCACGGUCACCUUCAGUUUCGGCCUGUUGCCAAAUCAUAUUAAUAUAUGAUCAUUUAGAUAAUUGUUUAUACAUUUCUAUUCAGCUAUAUUAAUUGUAGACCUCACCAGUGAUUGCAACGGUACCUAAAAGCAAAUAGAAUCACAUAAGAGUAUAUUAUAGAUCUUCUUUGAUUUUUUUGAUUUUGGCCUAGAAUAUCUUUCUUUAUACUUAGUCAAGUUAUCUUAAAAUACCAUUUCAUAUUAGCAGUUGUACGUUGCAUAUUUAUUUUCAGGUUUAUUGAAAUGCCUGCAAAGUUGAAGAGAUUCCAGAAAUUGUAAGAUUUUCGAUAUGUUUGACCUUCAGUCUUGAUGCUUCAUUAUUUUAGUUGGGACUGAAAGUUAAUACAUCUUUGAGAGGCUACCGAUCAGGAUAGGCAUCCUAACUGAAGCAAUUCUUGGAAGAGAUAGUUUCAAAGUAUUGUAAAUUCAUGUCAUUCAGUAUGCUAAUGAUUCACUUAAAAUGUGAUAUGAACUUGUAUCACGCUAGCUAUUGUACUUAUCUAAAAAUAGAUUUCAUUUCUGGGACAUAUUUAUUUUCCCAGAAAGUUAACAAGGAACGACGGUGCAAAAGAAUUAUAAAUUAGUUCAAAGGAAAAGUUGUUUUCCAACCAUAUUAUCAUAGUUAAUUGUGUUUACAUAUUGCUGGGUAUGCUACAAACAGCUCUUUACACAGGGACCAAAUAAAAUUAAUCUUAUCCAUGCAAAUGUACUAGGUUUUCGUUUCGUAUCACAAAUAGAUCUUGCAAUACAAUGAGGUCUGUCCAGUAAAACUAUCUAAAUCACACCUGCUUACAUUCAGUUACAUUUUCCAUGUUUCCUUUUAUUUUAUUUUUUCUAGAACUACCUUUUGUUUUUUGCUCAUACCAGUCAAUUAAGAAGCUUAGCAUAGCAUCUUUUUUUUGAGCUAAUUGUUUACAAAUGUGCUCUUAUAAACAGUUGCAGGCUGUGGCCGUUUAAAGCAGAUUAGUUUGCAUUGAAAUGGCUGCAUGGUUCAAAUUUGAACCUUAACUAAUAUUAUCAUGGCAGCAUCUUGUGAACUGCUUCAACGUCCAUCGACUCAUGAACUGGCGCAAAAGCAGUCAGCUGUUUUAUUUUGCUGAAAUGUCAUGUUAUCCCGGUGAGCAAAUUUGAAACUUAUUACCAUGUAGUUCUUGAGAUGUAUCAAAUCUUUGACAUUGGCAGGUACUAUGAGCUACUUUUCUUCAAACUUAUUAAUUGUUUGAGUUCUAUGGCCAGAUUUGGUUGAUGUCGGUAUUUUGUACUUGAAGAAUAAAAUGAAGUACCAUAUAUUAUAAGACACAUCUAUUCUUUUUCAUAUAUAUGCAUGGUUAUUAUUUAGUUUUGAAAAUGCCAUGUAGUCUUGUCUGACCUCAAUAUGUUCCUGAACUAAACUAAGCAGUCCGUACAUACUUGGAGUAGUGUAUGGAACAUCAACUUAAAGUUUGUGUUUGAAUUAAAAAUGCAGAGUAUACUUGGAGGCCUAAUGCAAUGUUCUUAACACAUCUCGGAAUUCCUGAAUUAGUGUAUUGAAAAGUUUGACCUCAAACAAAGAUUGUAGGUCUGAUAUUCAAUAUUGUAGCAGUGCUUUGCCUUAUAUGACUAUUGCAUAAUGUAAUAUUAAACAUGGCCAGCCAGCUUGAUCAAUCAGAGCUCAAACUGGUGGGCUAUUAUUUCGUUGAAGGUCCUUGAUUUUGCUUCUGCAUUUGCUGUUGUACCCUUGCUUACCACAGCUUCAGGCCAGCUUUCACAGCCCUGGUCUUAAAACUGGUUGCACGCACCGAGGUCAUCAGGCUUUGUAUUUUCAAAUUUCGGCCGGCUCACGAGUCCUGUUCAAAGUUUAUUUGGAACAAUGUUAAAUGUCAUUCUGUGAAGGAUAUGCUCUUACGUCUGUAUAGCCUGGAAGCAUAAUACAGAAAUACUACCAGAAGGACAACUCACACCAGCUUCAAUUCUUCAGCGCAGAGAAAUGACUACAUUGGUGGUCAAUCCUACAAGGUGAUUAAUCAAUAUUUAGAUUUCCUUUUCCCCAACUUUGCUCUACGAUUGCAUUUUCAGAAUUAUUUCAGCUGCAGACCCUCCUACAUGAUAGAAUGUGGAUGUGACCAUCAUUUUGUCAAGCAUCUACCGCUACUACCAGCCAUACUCUAAAGUAGCUGAACAACCUACCAAUAUGAAGCAUCCACCUACUUAGUAUUCAGUUAUUCAAAACUUAUCUAUGGACAACUAAUGUGUAAUAUUGAGUAUUGUAAUUUGCUAUCUACUCCCUCUGUUCCAAAAUGUAGGUCGUUUUUGGCUUUUUUAGUUUCAUAGUAUUUGCUAUGCACCUAGAUAUAACAUAUGUCUAUGUACAUAGCAAAAUAUAUGAAUCUAGAAAAGUCAAAACGACCUACAUUUUGGAACAGAGGGAGUAGAACUUAUGUCUUUGUAUGCUGGUCUAAAAAAUGAAAAAACUAUGCUAUCUA